rnacentral:rRNA from 1 species
AGAUUAAGCCAUGCAUGUCUCAGUACAAACUUUGCUAAAGUGAAACCGCGAAYGGCUCAUUAUAUCAGCURUKAUUUAAUGGACCUAUACCCAGUUUUCCUUGGAUAACUGUGGUAAUUCUAGAGCUAAUACAUGCACAUAUAGUCCCUGACCUKACGGGAAGGGCGCUUUUAUUAGUAUCACAAAAAAACCGGUGAAACAUGACUUUGGUCUGUAAAAAAAUGUAUUGUGAUGACUCUGGAUAACUUUAAGCUGAGCGCACGGUCUUUGCACURGCGCCGCUUCUUUCAAGUGUCUGCCUUAUCAGCUUUCGAUUGUAUGUUAUAUGCAUACAAUGGCGAUAACGGGUAACGGGGAAUCAGGGUUCGAUUCCGGAGAGGGAGCCUGAGAAACGGCUACCACAUCCAAGGAAGGCAGCAGGCACGCAAAUUACCCACUCCCAGCACGGGGAGGUAGUGACGAAAAAUAACGAUGCAAGACUCAUCCGAGGCCUUGCAAUCGGAAUGAGUACACUUUAAAUCCUUUAACCAGGAUCCAUUGGAGGGCAAGUCUGGUGCCAGCAGCCGCGGUAAUUCCAGCUCCAAU